rnacentral:lncRNA from 1 species
CGGGUCUCACCAGCGUGGGUUAAGCUGGGCAGUUUGAGACCCCGAGACCCUAUGGGCCGGAGCUGAUGCAGCUGAUCCAGCCUAAGGUUCUCCAGGCGGCGAAGCGUGGAGAGUCCGGUGGCCGAGACACAAGGUCCUUCAUCCAAGCUGGACAAGUCCUCAGUGCUGCCCCCGGCGUUGCCGGCCAUCUCCACGCCGCUGUCCGUGUUGGCCGCACUGCCUGCUGGGGAGUGGUCGCUGCUGCAAGAGGACUGCGCUCCGGGGCUCUGCUGCGGCUGUGAGGAGGAUGAGAACAGAGGGGGUGGCACACGGCCCAACUCCCUCCUGACAUGGGGUAUUCUCGAGGAAGAGGAGGGUUUCCCGUCGAGGCCCGCGGAGGCGCUGCAGCGCGGUCUUGAGAGCCCCUCUGGACACUGGCCGACUGAGUAUGGGGCGCUGGCUGAGGUGCAGCUUGUCCAGGAUACUUUUCUUGGCCAAAUCGAGAAGCAGCUCCCGCUGGCUCUCCAGGUCAAAGAUGGCACCCCAACAUGCUGGGCAUGGACCCUCAGUUUUGGGGUUCACUACUGUGGUUGGAGUCAGGAACAGAAGAGCCAGGAGCAAGGAGGAGGCCAUUGCUGGAGGA